rnacentral:rRNA from 1 species
GACGAACGCUGGCGGCGUGCCUAAUACAUGCAAGUCGAACGCAGUGGGGACGGGUGAGUAACACGUGGGUAACCUCCCAUCAGAGGGGAUAACACUUGGAAAAAGGUGCUAAACCGAUACUGAUGGAUGGACCCGCGGUGAAUUAGCUCGUUGGUGAGGUAACGGCUCACCAAGGCCACGAUGCAUAGCCGACCUGAGAGGGGGAUCGGCCACUCUGGGACUGAGACACGGCCCAGACUCCUACGGGAGGCAGCAGUAGGGAAUCUUCGCCAAUGGACGAAAGUCUGACCGAGCAAGGCCGCGUGGGUGAAGAAGGUUUUCGGAUCGUAAAACUCUGUUGUUAGAGAAGCGGUAUCUAACCAGAAAGCCACGGCUAACUACGUGCCAGCAGCCGCGGUAAUAC